CACUAUACUGAAAGGCAGUUAAAGCUAGGUUAUUAGUAGUUAUGUUCUUUAAAUUUAAAGAAUUUGGCGGUGGUUUAGUCUUGUCAGAGGAACCUGUUUUUUAAUCGAUAGUCCACGUAGAAUUUUACUUGCUUUUGUCGUACAGUUUGUAUACCAUCAUUAACAGAUAAUUUUAAGAGAAAAAAUUAUUAAGGUUUAUAAAUAUUAGUAAAAUUAGAUCAAGGUGCAGUUUAUAGGCAAGUUGAAAUGGGUUACAAUAAAUUUUAUUUAUAACGGAAUAGCUAGGAAGGUUAGUUAAGAAGGAGGAUUUGAUUGUAAUUUAAGUUUAGUAUGCUUGGGAGAUAUAAGCUCUAAUCUAU
rnacentral:rRNA from 1 species